CCGUAAAUGAUGAGAAAAUCAUCCUUGCUCUGCGAGUCGUAUGGCAAAGUGUUCAACUUCAAAUAGAAUGAGUUCUCAACAUCGGGUUGAUUUCUUUUCUAUUUUGAAGAAGAUCAUAGUCAUCGUUUACGACGGUGAACAGCGUUGGCCUCUGAUACGG
rfam:Caenorhabditis remanei strain PB4641 contig19.4, whole genome shotgun sequence.